rnacentral:rRNA from 1 species
UCGAACGUGAAGGGGUACUUGUAUCCCUGAAAGUGGCGGACGGGUGAGUAAGACGUAGGUGACCUGCCUCGAAGUGGGGGAUAACCACUGGAAACGGUGGCUAAUACCGCAUGAGCUGGUGGUGCUGGGAAGCACUAUCAGGAAAGCUUUAGUGCUUUGAGAGGGGCCUACGGCCGAUUAGCUAGUUGGUGAGGUAACGGCUCACCAAGGCGAUGAUCGGUAGCUGGUCUGAGAGGACGAUCAGCCACACGGGAACUGAGACACGGUCCCGACUCCUACGGGGGGCAGCAGUGAGGAAUAUUCGGCAAUGGGGGCAACCCUGACCGAGCAACGCCGCGUGGAGGAUGACGGUUUUUGGAUUGUAAACUCCUUUUCUCAGGGAAGAGUGAGGACGGUGCCUGAGGAAUAAGUCACGGCUAACUACGUGCCAGCAGCCGCGGUAAUACGUAGGUGGCAAGCGUUAUCCGGAAUUACUGGGCGUAAAGCGCACGCAGGCGGCUAUCUAAGAUUGACGUGAAAGCUGCUGGCUUAACUGGCAGAGGUCGUUGAUGACUGGAUGGCUUGAGACGAGGAGAGGGGUGCAGAAUUCCCGGUGUAGUGGUGGAAUGCGUAGAGAUCGGGAGGAAUACCAGUGGCGAAAGCGGCACCCUGGCCUUAGUCUGACGCUCAGGUGCGAAAGCGUGGGGAGCGAACGGGAUUAGAUACCCCGGUAGUCCACGCCAUAAACGAUGAACACUAGGUGUGAGUGGUGUCAAAGCCAGUCGUACCGCAGCCAACGCAAUAAGUGUUCCGCCUGGGGAGUACGACCGCAAGGUUAAAACUCAAAGGA